UUUUUCUUAUCGCCAGAAGUUACGUUGGCAAUUGAGAGUUAGUUGUUGUUUAUGAAUAGUUGUGAUUUGUUUGAAUAAUUGGUUGUUUGACGUUAAAAUAGAUACGUAUGUUUUCAGUUGUGUUAUAAGGAUAAAUAUAUUUUAUUUUUUAAAUAUCAGUGAACUGUAUAAAGUGAUUUUUUAAUCCACAAUUUCGAUCUGCCUCAAUUCGAGUUCAGCUUUGUUCAAGUUCGAUUUUAUGUUCUCUUCGCUACACGGAAAAAAGAUUUAAAGGACAUCUUCCAUCAAAAAAGUAACUAUUGUGUUAAGGCAACGGACAACACUGAGAAAACGAGCCGACAGAAUAUUUUAUGGCGCCUUGGCGGUCAAAUCCUGGCGAAAUUAUUCUUGAUACAAAAUGAUGCCAUAGAACAAUGUGGAAAGGUACUGUUCUUCUGUUGCCAAUUGCCCUUUUGUUGAAUCAUUCAUUUUGAGCUGCAAUGUGAGAGACGGGCUUGAUUGAUUUAUAUCGCCACCAUGGUCGCCAGCUUUGUGAAUUUUCCGAAACUGUUAUAACCAAUUAUUUAUCUGUGUUUAACUGUGGACGUCGUCGCUUGUAAAUCAUUUUCAUAUUUUUAUUCAUCCAGUUGGAAAAAAAUCUUCUAAAUAUUCAAUUCACUGUUUUCUUUGUUUCAAAGAAUACUCGAAUUAGAUUUCAAAAUGUAGGUGGACACUUUUAAGAUUUUUUUUUUAUUCUUUAGAGAUGUCGAUUGUUAAUGAA